CACGAUAAACAUGACAACAAAUGAGACGGAGCGCUGAGCUGUUAGUGCUCCAUUAGUACAUAUCCAGGCAGGCUUCAAUGGCAGUUCCAUCUACAUAUAUACUUGUCAGCAUGAACUUCUCCACCUGGGAGAGGGAAGCUGGGCAGCUGGGGGAGAAGAGAUGGAUCAUCACAAAACACUUCAUAGCAGAGGCGCAGACACCCAAAGGCCAGCCCUGUCCUGCUGAUGAGGCUCCUAGUGGGGCUGGAGUGAUGUAUCACUCUUCCCCUGGCAUACACUUCUCUCGAGCCCAGUUAUUGUGACAGCAAAUAUUCUAUACAAUAUCUGCAUUAUGCCACCAGCUCUUGUGAAAGAGAGGAGCCAUUACUUGGGGUCCAGGGCUGUGUGACAGUCAUACCAUCUGCGGAACCCAAGAGGUUGUGGAUUCUGGGGAGAGAUGUGAGAUCUAUCACAGGUGUGCUUUUCAGGG